AUGAUCUUCAACGAUGAUGGCACAUACGACUCGAUGAGUGAAGAAGAAAUGGAAGCCCUUGAGCACGUGGCCAUGCACCGGCGCGUGAACGAAGAUGAAGAUGAUCAAGUGUUUUGUGACAACGAUUCAAGUCCCUCUCUCGUGGUCUCCAAGGUCUUGACGCUCCAACACCACCAAGAAGAAGACCAACGGUGCCACAUCUUCCACACCAAGGCCGGCAUCAACGGGCGUUCCGUGAAAGUCAUCAUCGACGGAGGAAGUUGUCACAACUUGGCAAGUGAAGAGCUAUGUUCCAAGCUGCAAUUGGUCAAGAAGAAG
rnacentral:rRNA from 1 species